rnacentral:tRNA from 1 species
GCGAGAGUGGCGGAAUUGGUAGACGCGCUAGCUUCAGGUGUUAGUGUCCUUACGGACGUGGGGGUUCAAGUCCCCCUAUUCGCACCA